rnacentral:rRNA from 1 species
GAACGCUGGCGGCGUGCCUAACACAUGCAAGUCGAACGGGGCUACGAUAGCUUGCUUUCGGAUGCCUAAUGGCGGACGAGUGGAGUAAACGCGUGAGUAACCUGGCUUUCACAGGCCAUAACGUUCUGAUAAACAACGCUAAUACCGCGUAACGUACAGCUUUCCUAGUGUAUACCACUAGCAAAAGAGCAGUCCGGCUGAUAUAUGGACUCUGCGUCCAAUUACCUAGUUGGUGGGGUAAAGGCCUACCAGGGCCACCAUCGGUAGGCCGACAUGAGAGGUUGAACGGGCACAUUGGGACUGACACACUGCCCAUACUCCUACGGCAGGAAUCCUUGGGGAAUAUUGCACAAUGAGUCAAACCCUGAUGCAGCAACUCCGCGUGAGCGACGACGGUUGUCUGAUUGUAGACCACUGAUCUUGGUGAUCAGAAUGACGGUAACAAAGGAGAUAGACUCCAGCUAACUACUUGCUCUGCAGCCAUCUUAAUACAUAGGGAGCAAUCGUUGCCCGGAUUUACUCGGGUGUAAAGGGUGCGUAGGCGGCUAGGCCAGACUACGUGAAAACCCAUGGGCUCGACCUGUGUAUCUGCGUUUGAGACUGUUUAGCUUGAGUGACAGUAGAGGUAGGCGGAAUUCCCCGUGUAGACUUGAAUGCGUAGAGAUAGGAGGAACACCAGUGGCGAGGGCGGCCUCUGGUGCUUUAACUGACGCGGAGGCACGAAAGCAUGGGAAGCAAACAGGAUAGAUUCCCUGGUAGUUCCAUGCGGUAACCGAGGGUUAUUAGGGGUGGAGGGUCUGACCCCCUCAGUGCUGGAGCUAACGCAAUAAGUAAUCCGCCUGGGGAGUACGGCCGCAAGGUUGAAACUCAAAGGAAUUGACGGGGGCCCGCACAAGCAGUGGAGCAUGUGGUUUAAUUCGAAGCAACGCGAAGAACCUUGCCAGGUCUUGACAUCCGUCUAACGAUGUAGAGAUACAGUAUGUCCCUUUGGGGGAAAGUCGCGACAGGUGCAGCAUGGUUGUCAUCUGGUGUUGUGAGGAGAUGGUGGGAGUAAGUCCAGCGAGGACCGCCACCAUUGUCAGUAGCCGUCACGGUAAUGAGCACUCUAAUGAGACUGCCGUUGACAAACCGGAGGAAGGUGGGGAUGACGUCAAAUCAUCAUGCCCCUUAUGACCUGGGCUACACACGUGCUACAAUGGCAGUUAACAGAGGGAAGCAGUACCGAGAGUAGAGAGCCAUAAUCCUCUAAAAUUGGUUCCAGUUGGGAUUGCAGGUUGAAAUUCGCUUGCAGGAAGUUGGAAUUGCUAGUAAUCGCGGAUCAGCAUGCCGCGGUGAAUACGUUCCCGGGCCUUGUACACACCGCCCGUCCACACCAUGGGAGCCGGUACUACCCGAAUCCAGUAGUCUACCCGCAAGGAGGCCGCUGUCGAAGGUAGGAUUGGCGACUGGGGUG